AUUAGAGUUUGAUCCUGGCUCAGGACGAACGCUGGCGGCGUGCUUAACACAUGCAAGUCGAACGGUGAUGACAGGGCUUGCUCUGUCUGAUCAGUGGCGAACGGGUGAGUAACACGUGAGCAACCUGCCCCUGACUCUGGGAUAACGACCGGAAACGGUCGCUAAUACCGGAUAUGAGACGCACAGGCAUCUGUGGGUCUGGAAAGUUUUUCGGUCAGGGAUGGGCUCGCGGCCUAUCAGCUUGUUGGUGGGGUAACGGCCUACCAAGGCGACGACGGGUAGCCGGCCUGAGAGGGCGACCGGCCACACUGGGACUGAGACACGGCCCAGACUCCUACGGGAGGCAGCAGUGGGGAAUAUUGCGCAAUGGGCGAAAGCCUGAUGCAGCGACGCCGCGUUUUGGUUGCGGCCUUCGGGUUGUAAACCUCUUUCAGCAGGAAGAAGCGCAAAGUGACGGUUCCUUCCAGAUGU
rnacentral:rRNA from 1 species